UCCAACUUUGAAGGGCUCAGGCAGGGGCCGUUUGGAGCCUGCUUCGUCCUGCCUAGAACCCGGAGUCGGAUAGGAGUGAAGCGAGGGAGAGGAAAGACCCUGAGGUAGAGGAAGUUCAAAUACCUUGGUGCUGAAGAAAUGGACCUUGAAGAUUUUUUUUUUUUUACAGGAAACCGAAAAGUAAAUACAAAUGGGGUGACAAAUGGCAAAUGGAAGGGGUUGCCAUUUGUUACACUUUUUUCUGAAGCUGUAAAGCAAUACUUCGGUAGAGAGAAAAAGAGAAACAUUCAAUAUGGUUUAAUGGGAAGAACUGUGUCACAACUCAGACUGGAACUAAUAAUGGGAGGGACGAAAUGGUAGUACAAGAGGUAUCUCCAUUCCCAAGCAAUAUUGCUACAUUAGAAAACUAAACAUAUGAACUGAAGUGGGGGGAACAAAUGGAACAACAGUGCACUGCAUCAUCAUUUCAUGAUCUCAAGUUUUUACAAGACAUUUGGUACUCUAGGUAAAUACCAAAAGACCUAGAUACACAAACUGACCAGACUGCAGAUGAAUGCUAGCCACAGGAGAUCAUUUAUCCUUUAUCAAACUGAGGUUUGCAGAUAUGACAACUAAUAGGAGAACAAAAAUAGGGAAAAUCUGCCUUCUCUUUCCUUGCUGACAUUACCUGUCACACAACAUCUGCCUGGGACAGCCAUAAUGCUGUGCUUAAUAGAAGGGCUAGGCUUGUACAUCCAGUUGCAAAAAUAGUCAGUGUAGCAGAAAAGGGUUCUUGGAAGAUAUCUGGUGAUGAAAAGUCAUAGCAUGAAAGUUUCCAGAAGGGAGGUGGGUGGAGUUUGGGAUCUUCAAGAUUGCAUAAGGAAAGAAUUCCAGAGACAUAAAAAGUGGAAAAAACACAUUUAAACCAUGUGCAGUACAAUGAGGCAAACAAAUGGAUAGAAAUACUGUUUUUAAUUAUUUCCAUUAUGUAAUAUAUUUUAUGAAAACUGAUGCUGAAAUUUUGGUUUGGUUUAAUAAUCCUCUUGCCUACAGGGAUGAGAUCCAUACUGAAUAUAGAACAAAAUAGCAUAAUGACGCUAUAAUUC